GGUACAAAGCGAGACGUUUCUUUUCGUGAUGCCGCGGCGAUGAAAGAGGACGGCGGCGAUCCAUCCCUGGCGAUGCCGUCAUCAGAUUCCCCGACACAACCGAAGCGAAUCCUCGACUCCCCCUCGGAGUCGCCGAAGCCGCAGAAGCUGCCGAGAUCCGUGGAAGAGGGUUGUGGAGAAGGACGCGAGGGGAUGAGCCAAAACCCUAGGCUCCAGAGGUACUUGGUGGCGGUGGAGUACAUCGGAACGCGGUUCUCGGGGUCCCAGAGGCAGCCCAACUGCAGAACCGUUGUUGGCGUUCUUGAGGAUGCAUUUCAUAAAUUUAUCGGACAGCCAGUUUCAAUAUCCUUCUCCAGUCGAACGGAUGCAGGAGUUCAUGCUCUAUCAAAUGUUUGCCAUGUUGAUGUUGAGCGCAUAAGUAAACGAAAGCCUGGGGAAGUGUUAACACCACAUGAACCAGGUGUUGUAAGACGUGCUGUUAAUCACUUUUUACAGAAAUGUGAAGGUGACAUAACAGUAAUUGAUGUUCGAUGUGUUCCAGCUGAUUUUCAUGCACGAUUCAAGGCCCUGGAGCGGACAUACCACUACCGCAUCCUCUCAGGGCCAGAGCCUUUGUCAACCUUCGAGAAAGACCGUGCUUGGCAUGUACCUGAGGAACUGGAUAUUCUUGCUAUGAAGAAAGCAUGUAGCAUUCUGAUCGGGUCUCAUGAUUUCAGCUCAUUUAGGGCUACUGGUUGCCAGGCAAAGUCUCCUAUCAAAACUUUGGACGAACUUAGUGUCACAGAAGUUCUUCCGUCACUGUACUUCCCUUCAAUCAUGGAGAGGUCAGAGAUGGAAUCAUUAAAUGGUUCUCUUUCUUGUUCCAAGACAUCCGACCAUGAAUUACCUGCAAAUUAUUUGGACACCUCUGGCAUGAGCAUUCAGAAGAACAGUACUGAUUGCUGUCAAGGGUUUGGACAUAGAUCAAGGCAUCGUUGCUAUGUUAUAACAGCAAGAGCUCGCUCUUUUCUUUACCACCAGGUCAGGCUUAUGGUUGGUGGUCUAAAAUCUGUCGGGACUGGAGAGAUAACAGUCAGUGAUGUCGAAAGAAUUCUGAAUGCAAAAUCGGUGACUGCUGCAAGCCCCAUGGCUCCUGCCUGCGGUCUGUAUCUUGGCACUGUGAAGUAUGAUAUUCCAUAGAGUUUUUGAGAACACCACCUCAGUCAAACUAUCAUAAAGAGCCUCAUGAUGGGUCAUAGGUGACAAACAUCAUAAUGUCUUGUGACAUCCGAUGGUGGUGAUAUGCCCAAUGAGUGGUCAAGCGAACAAAGAGAAAAGAAGGCACUGCAGUGCAUGGGAUAAAAGCACAUGUUCUUCAUCUUUUGGGACAGUGCCGUAUGAUUGACGUGAUGGCUUCAUGGAUUGACAUGGUUUCUUGCUACUGCUUUCUCUUUGCUUAGGUGUGGCACUCGGAUAUGUCACCAAGGUUCAUGAUGACCAAUGGGGCCUUUUCUUCCCCUUGGCGUGCAUCACUUCAAGCCAUUUUGUCAAACACUUCAGACGUGAAUGAGUGAAUCGUCAAUUAUGAUGGCAUCUUAUAGAGUGAGAAUUGAUAUUUGGCUUGAACUAUUCAUUUACCAACCAAACAUUGCAAUUUAUCCUCAGUGGGGAAGUUUGGUUUGAUUCUUCA